UGAGGUAUUUUGGACAAUGGGGGAAACCCUGAUCCAGCGACGCCGCGUGAGGGAUGACGGCCUUCGGGUUGUAAACCUCUUUUCUCAGGGACGAUGAUGACGGUACCUGAGGAAUAAGCCACGGCUAACUACGUGCCAGCAGCCGCGGUAAUACGUAGGUGGCGAGCGUUGUCCGGAUUUACUGGGCGUAAAGAGCGCGCAGGCGGUCGUUCAAGUCGCGUGUGAAAGCCCCCGGCUCAACUGGGGAGGGUCACGCGAUACUGAUCGACUCGAAGGCAGGAGAGGGUAGUGGAAUUCCCGGUGUAGUGGUGAAAUGCGUAGAUAUCGGGAGGAACACCAGUGGCGAAGGUGACUACCUGGCCUGUUCUUGACGCUGAGGCGCGAAAGCUAGGGGAGCAAA
rnacentral:rRNA from 1 species